GUAUUGAUUGGUGCUUGCAUCAUGAUUUACAUUUGAGUGAGUGGCGAACUGGUGAGUAACACGUGGGAAACCUGCCCAGAAGCGGGGGAUAACACCUGGAAACAGAUGCUAAUACCGCAUAACAACUUGGACCGCAGGGUCCGAGCUUGAAAGAUGGCUUCGGCUAUCACUUUUGGAUGGUCCCGCGGCGUAUUAGCUAGAUGGUGGGGUAACGGCUCACCAUGGCAAUGAUACGUAGCCGACCUGAGAGGGUAAUCGGCCACAUUGGGACUGAGACACGGCCCAAACUCCUACGGGAGGCAGCAGUAGGGAAUCUUCCACAAUGGACGAAAGUCUGAUGGAGCAACGCCGCGUGAGUGAAGAAGGGUUUCGGCUCGUAAAACUCUGUUGUUAAAGAAGAACAUAUCUGAGAGUAACUGUUCAGGUAUUGACGGUAUUUAACCAGAAAGCCACGGCUAACUACGUGCCAGCAGCCGCGGUAAUACGUAGGUGGCAAGCGUUGUCCGGAUUUAUUGGGCGUAAAGCGAGCGCAGGCGGUUUUUUAAGUCUGAUGUGAAAGCCUUCGGCUCAACCGAAGAAGUGCAUCGGAAACUGGGAAACUUGAGUGCAGAAGAGGACAGUGGAACUCCAUGUGUAGCGGUGAAAUGCGUAGAUAUAUGGAAGAACACCAGUGGCGAAGGCGGCUGUCUGGUCUGUAACUGACGCUGAGGCUCGAAAGUAUGGGUAGCAAACAGGAUUAGAUACCCUGGUAGUCCAUACCGUAAACGAUGAAUGCUAAGUGUUGGAGGGUUUCCGCCCUUCAGUGCUGCAGCUAACGCAUUAAGCAUUCCGCCUGGGGAGUACGGCCGCAAGGCUGAAACUCAAAGGAAUUGACGGGGGCCCGCACAAGCGGUGGAGCAUGUGGUUUAAUUCGAAGCUACGCGAAGAACCUUACCAGGUCUUGACAUACUAUGCAAAUCUAAGAGAUUAGACGUUCCCUUCGGGGACAUGGAUACAGGUGGUGCAUGGUUGUCGUCAGCUCGUGUCGUGAGAUGUUGGGUUAAGUCCCGCAACGAGCGCAACCCUUAUUAUCAGUUGCCAGCAUUAAGUUGGGCACUCUGGUGAGACUGCCGGUGACAAACCGGAGGAAGGUGGGGAUGACGUCAAAUCAUCAUGCCCCUUAUGACCUGGGCUACACACGUGCUACAAUGGAUGGUACAACGAGUUGCGAACUCGCGAGAGUAAGCUAAUCUCUUAAAGCCAUUCUCAGUUCGGAUUGUAGGCUGCAACUCGCCUACAUGAAGUCGGAAUCGCUAGUAAUCGCGGAUCAGCAUGCCGCGGUGAAUACGUUCCCGGGCCUUGUACACACCGCCCGUCACACCAUGAGAGUUUGUAACACCCAAAGUC
rnacentral:rRNA from 1 species